rnacentral:rRNA from 1 species
AGGAUGAACGCUAGCGGCAGGCUUAACACAUGCAAGUCGAGGGGCAGCACGUCUUCGGAUGGUGGCGACCGGCGCACGGGUGCGUAACGCGUAUACAAUCUACCUUUUACUGGGGCAUAGCCCGGGGAAACCCGGAUUAAUAUCCCAUGGUACCAUGAUAUAGCAUUAUAUUAUGGUUAAAGCUUUGGCGGUGAAAGAUGAGUAUGCGUCUAUA